AUCGGUGCUUGCACCGAGAUUCAACAUGGAACGAGUGGCGGACGGGUGAGUAACACGUGGGUAACCUGCCCUUAAGUGGGGGAUAACAUUUGGAAACAGAUGCUAAUACCGCAUAGAUCCAAGAACCGCAUGGUUCUUGGCUGAAAGAUGGCGUAAGCUAUCGCUUUUGGAUGGACCCGCGGCGUAUUAGCUAGUUGGUGAGGUAAUGGCUCACCAAGGCGAUGAUACGUAGCCGAACUGAGAGGUUGAUCGGCCACAUUGGGACUGAGACACGGCCCAAACUCCUACGGGAUAUAGGCAGCAGUAGGGAAUCUUCCACAAUGGACGCAAGUCUGAUGGAGCAACGCCGCGUGAGUGAAGAAGGCUUUCGGGUCGUAAAACUCUGUUGUUGGAGAAGAAUGGUCGGCAGAGUAACUGUUGUCGGCGUGACGGUAUCCAACCAGAAAGCCACGGCUAACUACGUGCCAGCAGCCGCGGUAAUACGUAGGUGGCAAGCGUUAUCCGGAUUUAUUGGGCGUAAAGCGAAGGGAGCGCAGGCGGUUUUUUAACCCGUCUGAUGUGAAAGCCCUCGGCUUAACCGAGGAAGCGCAUGGCGGAAACUGGGAAACUUGAGUGCAGAAGAGGACAGUGGAACUCCAUGUGUAGCGGUGAAAUGCGUAGAUAUAUGGAAGAACAGGCCAGGUGGCGAANGCGGCUGUCUGGUCUGUAACUGACGCUGANGCUC
rnacentral:rRNA from 1 species